CAGUAGCCGCGGGAAUACGUAGGUCCCGAGCGUUGUCCGGAUUUAUUGGGCGUAAAGCGAGCGCAGGCGGUUAGAUAAGUCUGAAGUUAAAGACUGUGGCUUAACCAUAGUACGCUUUGGAAACUGUUUAACUUGAGUGCAAGAGGGGAGAGUGGAAUUCCAUGUGUAGCGGUGAAAUGCGUAGAUAUAUGGAGGAACACCGGUGGCGAAAGCGGCUCUCUGGCUUGUAACUGACGCUGAGGCUCGAAAGCGUGGGGAGCAAACAGGAUUAGAUACCCCCGUAGUCCCUGUCUCUUAUACC
rnacentral:rRNA from 1 species